ensembl:lncRNA
GCUGCAGAUGAGCCACUUGGGUCCUGGGACACCACUCUCCCCUCAGUACGAUGAAGACCAACGCCUGAUGCUGCUCCAUCACCAGCAGAAGAACAGCAGCUCUGCAGAGACCCGUCCUGCCAGCAGAGCAUCACGGAGAAGAAGACGCGCCUUCUGCUCACAGGAAGAUGCGAGGGACGGCCGUGUGUGUGCGCAUGGCCCAGCUCCCAGCACGUCCUCCUGGCUGGGAGGGGCGUUCCCAUGAGAUGAGCCUGGGGCAGCGGAGGAGUUACUCUUCUCCCAUAACCUCAGCAUCGAUGAUGCCCUCCGGACCCAGGAUGAGGAAGGAAGAACUGGAUGGGAGAGGAGAGCACGGCUGACGCCGUCAGUGUGAAGUGCCUCGUGUGGGAGAAGAGACUGGGCCAGCAGCAGACAGAUAGGGAGCACAGGGACGUAGUUAACACCAGAAUGUCUGUUAGACAGUCGUGUUAUUGUCGAAAAGCUCUGUAAAUAAAUAGUUUGAUAUCUCUCAUAUCCUUCCUAUCUUGUGUUGUUUAAAACCAUGUGGAUUCGUAGGCUGAUACUUCUGAAAAUAGGUGUCAGAACCAUAAACCUUUCCCACUUGUCUCGCCUGAUUUGUUUUAAGGUGAAAUCCCUGCCUGAUUUUAAAGUUUGUCUCGCAAAAGGGAGUAGAAACUGAAGUUCGAGCAGUUGCUUAACGACUUUUGUAACUGAGGAGCUCCAGAUUCUCGGUCACAAAGAGCAGAAGGCAGAAUAACGUCUGCAUGCCACACACACCCAUUUGCUAAUGCCAGCCUCGGACGGAAAGGGAGGAGCGUGCCAUCCUAACUGCUGCACACUGCUGCCCUAAGGAGAAAGAGUGAAAAAGCUGCCCCCAGUCAUUAUGGACACGCUUCAGAAGUGCAUACCAAACCCGUGUGUCAGUUCUGCAUUUCAGAAGAGCCUCCAGGGAAGGCACGGGGAUUGCCCAGGGGCAGGCCCUGACCGGAGCAGCUGCGCAUAAGCAAGCCAAGGGGAUGGGGGGAGCAGCACCUGGCUAAGUGGGGGAUGCCAAAGCAUCGCCUUGGAAGCCUUAGGAACCAACAGCAACGAGGGCCUGCAGCCAUCUGAGCCCAGGCUAGGACCUGCCUUCUCACGGCGCAGCAGGGCAGGCUGCGGGCACUGCUGGGCACAGAUCCCAAGCAGAAUGCAACCGCUUCAGGAAGCGGUGUCGGACAUUCUCACGGGCUGCACCGGGCAGAGCAGAGCAGAGCAGAGCAGAGCAGAGCGGGACGGUCCUUUCCUGGGGAGUGCUGGGCCUGAUGCGCCCCAGGGUACGGUUGGCCCUUUGGGCUGUC